AUUGAACGCUGGCGGCAGGCCUAACACAUGCAAGUCGAACGCGUGGCGGACGGGUGAGUAAUGUCUGGGAAACUGCCCGAUGGCGGGGGAUAACUACAGGAAACGGUAUCUAAUACCGCAUACCAUCGGAUGUGCCCAGAUGGGGUUAGCUCGUAGGUGAGGUAACGGCUCACCUAGGCGACGAUCCCUAGCUGGUCUGUGAGGAUGACCAGCCACACUGGAACUGAGACACGGUCCAGACUCCUACGGGAGGCAGCAGUGGGGAAUAUUGCACAAUGGGCGCAAGCCUGAUGCAGCCAUGCCGCGUGUAUGAAGAAGGCCUUCGGGUUGUAAAGUACUUUCAGCGGGGAGGCGUUACCCGCAGAAGAAGCACCGGCUAACUCCGUGCCAGCCGCCGCGGUAAUAC
rnacentral:rRNA from 1 species